GGAGCCUGGGCUGUGCUUUCCGCUCUCCAGCUGAUUCCAAUACACACCAAAGUUUGAGAACCACAGUCAAAGCUGCAGCAGCCACCCUGUGUCUGAAGGAAAUUCAGAGACACUGGUCACCAGAUGAGACGCUGAAGCAAUCCUAGCAGUCACUUACCUUCAGGCUGCUUGCUAUGUGCAAAGAAAAAAAAAAAGCUACUUAAGAUAUUUUAAGUAAUUGUGGCUGAAAGCGUUGUCGGUUGAUACACAGCCAAAUCAAAAGAGGAAUCACAACCAAUUAUAAUGUCCCCAAUGCCCAUAGAAUCAAAAUGUUCCAGUUGCUCAGAAGAAAUUCAACUUAGGCCCCGAGGCCAAAGAAAAAUUACUCCCCUAGGCCUGCAUGAAGGAGACACUGCUUGCUGUGAGUGUCUAGUGAAGCCUGGGGUCUCCUACAUGACUGUUUAACUUGCCCAUCUCCUUGUCCGGAAGCCCCCAGUCCUAUCACUGGAGCUACUUAGCUUGGACCAGCUAAUUCUUACCAGACAGAGCUGAAGGAGCCUGGACCAGUGAAUCACUAUAAAAUUUGACUUGUUGGAAAUUCUGCUAUGUCCUUGAACCUCAGCUCUCUAACUGAGCUCUGGCCUUUUCUCUUCGCUCCUUAGUCCAUAUCCUCAUAUUUUGAACUCCAAACCAAUUCCAUUCAAAUGUCUGUACUAUCUUUCUCUCUUCAGUUCUCCUGGGUUCUAGUCUUGGCCCUGAAAAUGUGUGACCCAGUUGCUUUGAUGUCUAUCUGUCCUAUGACUGGAGCCUCCCAGGCUUCCCAGCUAAGCCUUUCUUGACUCUGGGCUUACCGACCAAGACGUCCCCUCUUCCCUCCUAGACGGAAGAAUGGCUACAGCUCAUUGAGAGCUGUAGGCCAAGACCUCUGCGAAGAACUUUGGAAGGGAGAUAUUGUCAUUGUUAUUUUAUAUCUGAGGAAACUGAGGCUUGGAGACCAAUGUUUGCAUAUGACAAUGGCUUGUUGGAUGAAUAUAACUCAAGGAGUCCUGGAGUUUUAUGAUAUUUCUAAACCAGCCAAGCACAAUGCAAGAUAAAUCAUUAAACAUGAAAUCCAGAAUUUAGAUCCUUCAAUCAAAGUGAAGUCAUUCUUUCUAUUAGUCACACAAAAUUGCUAGUCAGAAUUAAAGAAACCUUUGGGUUAUCAUAGAAUAGUCAUCCAAUCUCAAUGGCCUUGAAUUAUUGCUAAAGAAGGAAUAGUCAACAAAGCUCAAGAACUCCUAGCACUAACUCAAUAAUGUUAAAACUGUCUUUAUAGAGAACUCUAAAGGCAUUUAAUUAUUUUCUAUUUGAAAUAGCGUUUCAUUUUGACUGAGUUGCAAUCAUAUUUAAGACCAAUGAAUUAGCUUUAGUUAUUCUGUGUUCUCAUGAUGCAUUCAAUUUAUUCAUUUAUUUACUAUACAUUUAUGGAAUGCCUGCAAUGUGCCCUGAAAUGUGUGAGGGCUGGAUAUGUGACAGUGAGGAAAAUAGACGUGAUGAUAACCCUCUUGGCACUUAAAUCUAGUAGAAGAGAGAGACAAGACAGAAAAUAAUUUUAGAUAAUAAAAAAAUAUUAUUAAAAAAUAAACAAGGCAUUUUCACAGAGAUAAUGGGUUGGAAGUAUUGUUACUUUAGAUACGAUUAUCAAGAGAGGCAUCUCCAAGGAGGAGACAUCUAAACUGAGACCAGAAAAAUGGGAAAUAUCCCAUCAUGCCAUGUGAAA
ensembl:lncRNA